rnacentral:rRNA from 1 species
GAUGAACGCUGGCGGCGUGCCUAAUACAUGCAAGUCGAACGAAACUUCUUUAUCACCGAGUGCUUGCGCUCACCGAUACAGAGUUGAGUGGCGAACGGGUGAGUAACACGUGGGCAACCUGCCCAAAAGAGGGGGAUAACACUUGGAAACAGGUGCUAAUACCGCAUAACCAUAGUUACCGCAUGGUAACUAUGUAAAAGGUGGCUAUACUACCGCUUUUGGAUGGGCCCGCGGCGCAUUAGCUAGUUGGUAGGGUAAAGGCUUACCAAGGCAAUGAUGCGUAGCCGAAUUGAGAGGUUGAUCGGCCACAUUGGGACUGAGACACGGCCCAAACUCCUACGGGAGGCAGCAGUAGGGAAUCUUCCACAAUGGGCGAAAGCCUGAUGGAGCAACGCCGCGUGGGUGAAGAAGGUCUUCGGAUCGUAAAACCCUGUUGUUAGAGAAGAAAGUGCGUGAGAGUAACUGUUCACGUUUCGACGGUAUCUAACCAGAAAGCCACGGCUAACUACGUG